rnacentral:rRNA from 1 species
CGCCAGACUCCUACGGGAGGCAGCAGUGGGGGAUAUUGCACAAUGGGGAAACCCUGAUGCAGCGACGCCGCGUGGGCGAAGAAGUAUUUCGGUAUGUAAAGCCCUAUCAGCAGGGCAGAAGAAAUGACGGUACCUGAGUAAGGAGCACCGGCUAAAUACGUGCCAGCAGCCGCGGUAAUACGUAGGGAGCAAGCGUUGUCCGGAAUUACUGGGUGUAAAGGGAGCGUAGGCGGGAAUGCAAGUUGGAAGUGAAAGGUAUGGGCUCAACCCAUGAACUGCUUUCAAAACUGUAUUUCUUGAGUGAAGUAGAGGCAGGCUGAAUUCCUAGUGUAGCGGUGAAGUGCGUAGAGAUUAGGAGGAGCACCAGUGGCGAAGGCGGCCUGCUGGGCUUUAACUGACGCUGAGGCUCGAAAGCGUGGGUAGGAACCAGGA